rnacentral:lncRNA from 1 species
CAUAUAGAAACAUAAGUGCGAAAAAUGCUCUAUUACGUUCUGUGGUGAUAAAGCUAUAACUUUUUUCUGUGCUGAAACUUAGAGUGCAUUUGGUUCACGCCAUAAAAGAUUAUCAGAAAGAAGAUGUUUUUAAGAAUUUAAGUUUUGCUUAUUCGAUUAUUAAGAAUUGACAUUUUUAGUAUUUGGUUAGCCCAGUCAUAUUAUUUAAGAUUAUUGAAAAUAUAAAAUUAAUAUGCUUGUUUCAUCAAUUAAUUUUAGAUAAUAUAUCAGUAAUACGAAUACUUUUACCUUUUCAACAAUCAUUAGAAAUUUAUGUUUAGAUUGAAUUGAAAGAGCUUAGUUUAGAGAGAGCCAUUUGAGGUGAAAGUCAGAGAGAGUUGAUAUUAGAGAGAGUGAGAGAGAUUAAGAGAGUUUUAGAUUAGAAAUGCAUGUGAAGAGGCAGAGAGAGCGAGAGUUUAGAGAGAAAUUUGAGGUUAGAUGAAGUGGAGGAUAGAGGGGAGAGAGGGAGAGAUGAGGUUAGAGAGAGAGAUGAUACUAGAGAGUAAAAGGGAACUGUAAAGUGACGGAGGUGGGGAGAGAGAAAAGAGUGUGUUUGGUUCGAAAUUUUAUGAUUAUCUCAAAUCAUUAAGAUAAAAAUAUGGGUAAACUUCAAAUACCAUUUUUGUGGUUUCGUACUUUUUUAUUUUAUUAGCAUGUGAUUUAAAGUGUAUUAAUUUAGUAUUCUAUGUUUUUUUUUUUUUUCCAUCAACCUUUUCGUUAACUUUUCGUUAAAUCACAUACAAAAAAAAUUCAGAUACUCUACCUAUAGUUUAUCGAAUAUUUACUUUAGUACCCUUUAGUUUUAACUUUGUCACUGAUUUAACGAAAAAAAUUAGUAGAGGGGAUAACAAAAAGAGAAAAAUAAAACUAUAGGAUAUGAAAAUGAUACAUUUUAAAUCACAGAAUAAUAAAGUAAGAAUGUGCGAAACUAUAAGGGUGGUGUUUGAAGUUUUCUCUAAAAAAUAUCCAUACUCUCCCAAAAGAAUGAGAUAUAUAAUUAACCUUUGUGAUGAAUCUUAUUCUCAAAUAAAUUCAGUAUUACCAAUCAAAUUAUAUGGUGCAUUUAGCAAAACAUCGUCGUAUUCUUUUAUUUCUUUUGAAUUAUCGAGAAUCUUAAAAAAAUUCAUGUGAAUCAAA